rnacentral:rRNA from 1 species
GACGAACGCUGGCGGCGUGCCUAACACAUGCAAGUCGAGCGAGGGAUUUAUGACGGAUUCCUUCGGGAUGAAGACAUAAAUCACCUAGCGGCGGACGGGUGAGUAACGCGUGAGGAACCUACCUCCUACAAGGGGAUAGCCUCGGGAAACUGGGAUUAAUACCCUAUGACACUUAAGGAUCGCAUGAUCUUUAGGUUAAAGCGAUAUAGCGGUAGGAGAUGGCCUCGCGUCCCAUUAGCUAGUUGGUGAGGUAACGGCUUACCAAGGCGACGAUGGGUAGCCGGCCUGAGAGGGUGAACGGCCACACUGGAACUGAGACACGGUCCAGACUCCUACGGGAGGCAGCAGUGGGGAAUAUUGCACAAUGGGCGGAAGCCUGAUGCAGCGACGCCGCGUGAGCGAAGAAGGCCUUCGGGUCGUAAAGCUCUGUCCUAUGGGACGAUAAUGACGGUACCAUAGGAGGAAGCCCCGGCUAACUACGUGCCAGCAGCCGCGGUAAUACGUAGGGGGCGAGCGUUGUCCGGAAUUACUGGGCGUAAAGGGUACGUAGGCGGCUAGGUAAGUCAGAUGUGAAAUCCAUGGGCUCAACCCAUGUAAGCAUUUGAAACUGCUUAGCUUGAGUUAAGGAGAGGAAAGUGGAAUUCCUGGUGUAGCGGUGAAAUGCGUAGAUAUCAGGAGGAAUACCAGUGGCGAAGGCGACUUUCUGGCCUUAAACUGACGCUGAGGUACGAAAGCGUGGGGAGCAAACAGGAUUAGAUACCCUGGUAGUCCACGCCGUAAACGAUGAGUGCUAGGUGUCGGGGGUUUAACCUUCGGUGCCGCAGUUAACGCAUUAAGCACUCCGCCUGGGGAGUACGUUCGCAAGAAUGA